rnacentral:rRNA from 1 species
AACACGUGGGUAACCUGCCUGUAAGACUGGGAUAACUCCGGGAAACCGGGGCUAAUACCGGAUACUUGUUUGAACCGCAUGGUUCAAACAUAAAAGGUGGCUUCGGCUACCACUUACAGAUGGACCCGCGGCGCAUUAGCUAGUUGGUGAGGUAAUGGCUCACCAAGGCAACGAUGCGUAGCCGACCUGAGAGGGUGAUCGGCCACACUGGGACUGAGACACGGCCCAGACUCCUACGGGAGGCAGCAGUG